UGAUACUAAGCCAUGCGAGUCUUUGUAGCAAUACAAGGCAGACGGCUCAGUAACACGUAGUCAAUCUACCCUAUGGACGGGGAUAACCUCGGGAAACUGAGAAUAAUACCCGAUAGAUCAUUAUGCCUGGAAUGGUUUAAGGUUCAAAUGAUUUUUCGCCAUAGGAUGGGACUGCGGUCUAUCAGCUUGUUGGUGAGGUAAUGGCCCACCAAGGCUAUAACAGAUGCGGGCUCUGAGAGGAGAAGCCCGGAGAUGGGUACUGAGACACGGACCCAGGUCCUAUGGGGCGCAGCAGGCGAGAAAACUUUGCAAUGUGCGAAAGCACGACAAGGUUAAUCCGAGUGUUUUCUGCUAAAGAAAUCUCUUGUCAGUCCUAAAAACACUGACGAAUAAGGGGUGGGCAAGUUCUGGUGUCAGCCGCCGCGGUAAAACCAGCACCUCAAGUGGUCAGGAGGAUUAUUGGGCCUAAAGCAUCCGUAGCCUGCUCUGUAAGUUUUCGGUUAAAUCUANNUGCUCAACAUAUAGGCUGCCGGGAAUACUGCAGAGCUAGGGAGUGGGAGAGGUAGAUGGNACUCGGUAGGAAGGGGUAAAAUCCUUUGAUCUAUUGAUGACCACCUGUGGCGAAGGCGGUCUACUAGAACACGUUCGACGGUGAGGGAUGAAAGCUGGGGGAGC
rnacentral:rRNA from 1 species